UACGUAGGGGGCAAGCGUUGUCCGGAUUUAUUGGGCGUACAGAGCGUGUAGGCGGCCACACAGGUCAGCUGUGAAAACUCGAGGCUCAACCUCGAGACGUCGGUUGAAACCGUAUGGCUAGAGUCCGGAAGAGGAGAGUGGAAUUCCCGGUGUAGCGGUGAAAUGCGUAGAUAUCAGGAGGAACACCGGUGGCGAAGGCGGGUCUCUGGGCAGUAACUGACGCUGAGGAGCGAAAGCGUGGGGAGCGAACAGG
rnacentral:rRNA from 1 species